GAUGAACGCUGGCGGCGUGCCUAAUACAUGCAAGUCGAGCGAACAGAUGAGGAGCUUGCUCCUCUGACGUUAGCGGCGGACGGGUGAGUAACACGUGGAUAACCUACCUAUAAGACUGGGAUAACUUCGGGAAACCGGAGCUAAUACCGGAUAAUAUAUUGAACCGCAUGGUUCAAUAGUGAAAGACGGUUUUGCUGUCACUUAUAGAUGGAUCCGCGCCGCAUUAGCUAGUUGGUAAGGUAACGGCUUACCAAGGCAACGAUGCGUAGCCGACCUGAGAGGGUGUUCGGCCACACUGGAACUGAGAAACGGUCCAGACUCCUACGGGAGGCAGCAGUAGGGAAUCUUCCGCAAUGGGCGAAAGCCUGACGGAGCAACGCCGCGUGAGUGAUGAAGGUCUGCGGAUCGUAAAACGCUGUUAUUAGGGAAGAACAAAUGUGUAAGUAACUAUGCACGUCUUGACGGUACCUAAUCAGAAAGCCACGGCUAACUACGU
rnacentral:rRNA from 1 species